AUUGAACGCUGGCGGCAUGCUUUACACAUGCAAGUCGAACGGUAGAGGGGGCAACCCCUUGAGAGUGGCGAACGGGUGAGUAAUGCAUCGGAACGUGCCCAGUCGUGGGGGAUAACGCAGCGAAAGCUGUUCUAAUACCGCAUACGAUCUCUGGAUGAAAGCGGGGGACCGAAAGGCCUCGCGCGAUUGGAGCAGCCGAUGUCAGAUUAGGUAGUUGGUGGGGUAAAGGCCUACCAAGCCAACGAUCUGUAGCUGGUCUGAGAGGACGACCAGCAACACUGGGACUGAGACACGGCCCAGACUCCUACGGGAGGCAGCAGUGGGGAAUUUUGGACAAUGGGCGCAAGCCUGAUCCAGCAAUGCCGCGUGCAGGAAGAAGGCCUUCGGGUUGUAAACUGCUUUUGUACGGAACGAAACGGUCUGGGUUAAUACCCUGGGCUAAUGACGGUACCGUAAGAAUAAGCACCGGCUAACUACGUGCCAGCAGCCGCCGUAA
rnacentral:rRNA from 1 species